ACGGGGUCUGGCCCCGCCGGGUCCCCCCGCACAACCCCUCCGCUCCAGCAGGGGGCGAGAGCUGCCGUGACCGCCCCAGCGGCAGCCGCUCUCGGCGCCGCGACGCUUCCGGGCCGGGCCAAGGCCAUGGCGACGGGCGCCAGGAAGGCAGUGUACCCGCUGUUCCAGCUGGGCGGGCCGCAGCUGCGGAUCUUCCGGCCCAACUUCUACAUGCUGGCGGUGCGGCCCGGCGUGCCGCAGCCGGAGGACACAGUCCAGUUCCGCGUCUCCAUGGAAAUGACAAAAGUGGAUAUCAAGAAUUACCUUGAAAAAAUAUACAAUGUGCCGGUAGCUGCUGUGAGGACCAGGAUACAGUACGGCGCUAACAACAAGAGGAAUCACAAGAAUCAUAGAGUGAAGAAGCCGGAUUACAAGGUUGCCUACGUACAGCUGGGCCGAGGACAAACCUUUCAGUUUCCCAACCUAUUUCCAGAGAAAGAACAAGACACAGAAACUCGCUCUCUUGAAGACCUCAAGGAUAAAUAUAUGGAGAGAGAGGAGCAGAGGCAGAAAGGUGACCCCAGACGAGGUGGAGUCCCUGACUGGUUUGGACUUUGAUGCAACAAGCCAGCUGCCUUUCUUUAGGCUCAGAGGGAUUUUGAUCAGCAGAACUUGCACUCUUCCCUUCUUGUAAUGACUGAACGUUUAUUCUUGAGCAGCCCUUGCUAGCGUGUCUUUUUCCUGGCUGUUUGUGCUCGGCAACAACAAAAUGGCCCUAAAGAAAUAAAAAGGUAACUCCAUCUUCU